AACGAACGCUGGCGGCAUGCCUAACACAUGCAAGUCGAACGAAGGCUUCGGCCUUAGUGGCGCACGGGUGCGUAACGCGUGGGAAUCUGCCCUUGGGUACGGAAUAACUCUCCGAAAGGAGUGCUAAUACCGUAUGAUGUCGCAAGACCAAAGAUUUAUCGCCCAGGGAUGAGCCCGCGUAGGAUUAGGUAGUUGGUGGGGUAAAGGCUCACCAAGCCGACGAUCCUUAGCUGGUCUGAGAGGAUGAUCAGCCACACUGGGACUGAGACACGGCCCAGACUCCUACGGGAGGCAGCAGUGGGGAAUAUUGGACAAUGGGCGAAAGCCUGAUCCAGCAAUGCCGCGUGAGUGAUGAAGGCCUUAGGGUUGUAAAGCUCUUUUACCCGGGAAGAUAAUGACUGUACCGGGAGAAUAAGCCCCGGCUAACUCCGUGCCAGCAGCCGCCGUAA
rnacentral:rRNA from 1 species